UGUUAUUUUAUUUGUCAUUUUGCCUAAGACAUGCAUUUAUAUGCAGCAUAUUUUAUGCCAGCUUAACUUUAUAGGUUAAGAUAAAUAUGAUAUUUGUAGAAGUAGCGCAUUCCCUACAGUUUUGGUUAAUUUGUGUGUUAUUCCACCUCAUGUUGAACAUUAACCAAACCAUGGUGUUGGACUACUGUUGUUUUAUAUUAGGUUAAACUGCAUCACACAGCAUGCAGUCAUGCACAUUACAGUACUAACAUGACAUUCAAAGAUGAUCCUCAGUUUCAUUUAAUAGCACUAGUUCGAUUCAAAGAUGCAGCACACCAUUCCAUUUUUCAUUCUCUACAUGAAAUUUGUAGAACUGUUUCCAUAUCCAUAGGCACUAUCUGUUCUUGUCAACUGCAAACAAGAUUGCCAUGCUUUUAACAUAUUAGGGAGUAUUUAAAGCAAUCUAACUACAUCACAUUACGAUCCUGGGAAUUUAAAGAAAUGUAGGGAAGUAUAACAUUUCUCAUUUAUCACGAGGAAGUAUCAUAAAUAUUGCCAUUAGCAUUAGACACCAUUUAUUCAGUGAAGUAGAAGGAGGUUGAUCAUUUUUUUAAGGGGUAGGGUAUUAGGAUCAUAAUUUAAGUAAUAGGAAGAUGUAUGUGGAUGUGAUUUAUAUGCAGGAUAAGCUACUUUGCUCGAGGUGAAUGGUGCUUAAGCUGAUAAUUUGGCACAGGUAAACUUUUUAGUUGUAACAAGUGAAGA